rnacentral:rRNA from 1 species
GAUUCAGCGGCGGACGGGUGAGUAAUGCCUAGGAAUCUGCCUGGUAGUGGGGGAUAACGUCCGGAAACGGGCGCUAAUACCGCAUACGUCCUGAGGGAGAAAGUGGGGGAUCUUCGGACCUCACGCUAUCAGAUGAGCCUAGGUCGGAUUAGCUAGUUGGUGGGGUAAAGGCCUACCAAGGCGACGAUCCGUAACUGGUCUGAGAGGAUGAUCAGUCACACUGGAACUGAGACACGGUCCAGACUCCUACGGGAGGCAGCAGUGGGGAAUAUUGGACAAUGGGCGAAAGCCUGAUCCAGCCAUGCCGCGUGUGUGAAGAAGGUCUUCGGAUUGUAAAGCACUUUAAGUUGGGAGGAAGGGCAGUAAGUUAAUACCUUGCUGUUUUGACGUUACCAACAGAAUAAGCACCGGCUAACUUCGUGCCAGCAGCCGCGGUAAUACGAAGGGUGCAAGCGUUAAUCGGAAUUACUGGGCGUAAAGCGCGCGUAGGUGGUUCAGCAAGUUGGAUGUGAAAUCCCCGGGCUCAACCUGGGAACUGCAUCCAAAACUACUGAGCUAGAGUACGGUAGAGGGUGGUGGAAUUUCCUGUGUAGCGGUGAAAUGCGUAGAUAUAGGAAGGAACACCAGUGGCGAAGGCGACCACCUGGACUGAUACUGACACUGAGGUGCGAAAGCGUGGGGGAGCAAACAGGAUUAGAUACCCUGGUAGUCCACGCCGUAAACGAUGUCGACUAGCCGUUGGGAUCCUUGAGAUCUUAGUGGCGCAGCUAACGCGAUAAGUCGACCGCCUGGGGAGUACGGCCGCAAGGUUAAAACUCAAAUGAAUUGACGGGGGCCCGCACAAGCGGUGGAGCAUGU